AAAGGCGCGCGACGAGGGAGCCCGUGAGUGUUCGAGGAACGUGCGAGGCUUGCUGCUGCUGCGCGAGGCUGCUGUUGCUGUUGCGCGAGGUUGUUGUUGCUGCUGUGCGAGUUGUGCGACGAAGCUCGAAGCGUGUGCGAGGCUGCUGCUGUGCGAAUCAAGGGCUGGUUCGAGCGUAGUCGUGCGGCUGCUGUGGUAGAGCGUGGGGUUGUGUGUCGUUGACGGAAAUCGGUCGCCGGAACUUGAUUUCCGGCGAGCUUAACGGUCCCAAUUUCAUAAGCGGAACGUUCGAUUAAGACAGCGAAAAUUCUCCGUUACAAGACUAGGUGUGCUGGUGCUGCUGCAUAAUCUCGAGCAUACGGGGACUAGGCUUGGGUAUUUACAUUUAAAGCAUUUUGAAAUAAGUAUUAUUGGUUUUUCUAAGACUUAUAUAUGGUUUGUGGUUUGUGGUUUGAAUGAAAGGGGUCAUUGAUGAUUCCCGAGUUGUAUUUAUAUUUUAAUUCCGCUGCAUUUUAGUUUUCAAGUUAAUGUUUUAAGUUAU